AUUGAACGCUGGCGGCAUGCCUUACACAUGCAAGUCGAACGGCAGCACGGGAGCAAUCCUGGUGGCGAGUGGCGAACGGGUGAGUAAUAUAUCGGAACGUGCCCAGUCGUGGGGGAUAACGCAGCGAAAGCUGUGCUAAUACCGCAUACGAUCUAAGGAUGAAAGCGGGGGAUCGCAAGACCUCGCGCGAUUGGAGCGGCCGAUAUCAGAUUAGCUAGUUGGUGGGGUAAAGGCCCACCAAAGCGACGAUCUGUAGCUGGUCUGAGAGGACGACCAGCCACACUGGAACUGAGACACGGUCCAGACUCCUACGGGAGGCAGCAGUGGGGAAUUUUGGACAAUGGGCGCAAGCCUGAUCCAGCAAUGCCGCGUGCAGGAUGAAGGCCUUCGGGUUGUAAACUGCUUUUGUACGGAACGAAACGGCCCUUUCUAAUACAAGGGGCAAUGACGGUACCGUAAGAAUAAGCACCGGCUAACUACGUGCCAGCCGCCGCUGUAACAC
rnacentral:rRNA from 1 species